rnacentral:rRNA from 1 species
UACGUAGGGGGGCGAGCGUUUGUCCGGAAUUAUUGGGCGUAAAGAGCGUGUAGGCGGUUCGGUAAGUCUGUCGUGAAAACCUGGGGCUCAACCCCAGGCGUGCGGUGGAUACUGCCGGGCUAGAGGAUGGUAGAGGCGAGUGGAAUUCCCGGUGUAGCGGUGAAAUGCGCAGAUAUCGGGAGGAACACCAGUAGCGAAGGCAGCUCGCUGGGACGUGACUGACGCUGAGACGCGAAAGCGUGGGGAGCAAACAGG